UCCUGAAUAAAGCUCUGAACAUUUGUGUGCAAGUUUCUGUGUCGACAUAACUCUUGAAGGAAUGACAAGGAAAGGUGUAUUUGCCAGAUCCCAGGAAUCAAUAUAAACAUCCAUGAUAACCCCACCUUUUUUUUUUAAAUGUAUGAUUUGGAUGAAACAAGAGAACGAGACUGACUGUUGCUGAGUCCCUGCUGCAGUCCUGACACAGCUGGAGACACCCUGCUCUCCAGCUCUCCUUAUUUUGUUGAUGCUUUUGAGGACCAUGUUGUCUGAGGAAGACGGUUCCCAUCCAACUCUGCCCCUGGUGUGUCACGUGCUGGCCUUGUCAACAUACAUGAGAACCUGACAGGGACCCACCCGAGGAGAGGCCAUGGCUUGGAGCACCUGGUAGUGUGUCCACAGUGAAGACCAGAGUUUCGUUGUCCUCAAGACUGACCUGGGGGGACGUGGCUGCGGGCCAGUGAGGAAGCAAAGAAGGAAGCUCCUGCCCCUCCUAAGGCCAAAGCCAAAGCAAAGCUUUAAAGGCCAAGAAGGCAGUGUUGAAAUGUGUCCACAGCCCCCCAAAAAGAGAAGAUCUGCAUGUCACCCACCUUCCAGCAUCCCAAGACACUGUGACUGCGGAGGCAGCCCAGAUAUCCUGGGAAGAGCGCCUCCCGGAGAAACAAGCUUGACCACCAUGUUAUCAUCAAGUUUC
rnacentral:lncRNA from 1 species